rnacentral:lncRNA from 1 species
CAUUUUUUAAGAUAAUGGCAUUUACAGAUAAAUGCUAGAUGGAAUACUUACACAUAUGCAUUUAUGACAUUUUUUGCUUUCUAUCACCAAGCUACUUGUCCAAGACCAUAGUUGUCAUAAACAAGAUCACAAGACUUCAGCUAUCAUUUGAUUCAUUCAUUUUCCUUCUGGGACUUUAUCCAGUUAGCCUUAAAUAAAGCUCCUCAGGAACUGGCCUGCUUUAUGUAUACAUAUGAAUCAAACGGGAGCUGGAGUGCUAUGUCUAUGAUCUUGCAAUAGUAGCUUAAUGUUGAUGACUAAAAGAAGAAAAAGAAAAUCAGAAGACAGUAAAGUUCCUUUAUGUCAUGACAGAUUUGAGUGUCCUCAGAGCUGAUGAUGAUCUACACUGGAAGUGACUUUCCCAGGUUUUCAACUGAAACCCAGAUGAGGAGUGAUAAUGCUUUAAUUGGGAGAUCUAAUAAUUAUUUCAGUUUUUGUUGUUGUUUGUUUUUAGUUUUUUUGUUGCUGUUUGUUUUUUGGAGUUGUUUUGCUUUAUUAUUUUUUCUGUCUGUAUGCUACACUAGCUUUGAUUUAGACAUACAUAUUAAUUUUCAAUGUCUGUUUUUUGAUGGCUUUAAUCUUCUAUCUACCUGCUAGACUAGUCUGAUCACACCAUACUUUCUGUUAAUCUUUUGCUUUAUAAUCCAACAAAGUUAGCUGCUGGUGUGAAGCAUGCAUUUUUUUUUUCCUUUUCUCAGUGAUUUUCCAGGAAGUCUUGCUAGUAUAAAUGGUCAAGAACUACAUAAAUCCUAUAUAAAUACUGGAGGACUACAAGGCAUAGCUUAGAAGAAAAGUGCAGUUCAGGGAAUGGGUCACUGAACAACCACGGAAUGAUUUCUGGGCUAUCUUCUCAGUGUUACCACUGGCUUUUUUGGGCACCUCUUCUCAUCUUGCCUAACAUUUAAUUUCCUGAUCACCUCUUACCUAUUGAUCUGGCAACCAUUUUAAGGCUCUUUUGGACAGAAUUUUUUCUUUUGGUAGGCACUGAACAAAGAGAGGAUCUUCUGACUUUGUCUUGUAUCACAGACUUGUUUAGUUCCUAGCAUAAUGCCAAUCUGUGUAUUACAGGAAUCUCUCUUUCUGUAAUAAAUAUAGUAAAAUUAACUUCA